rnacentral:lncRNA from 1 species
AUAAAAUAUAAUAUAUAUAAAAAAGAUAUUAUUAGACACAACAUAAUUAUCCUAAAAAUAUCUAGAAUAAAAUAAGGAUAAAAUAAUAAAAACGUUGACCAAAAAAUCUCGAAAUUGCAGAUCAGGUCCUUCAACUUUCAUUUAGUGCAAUUUGGUCCUCAAAUUUGACUUUUAUUACAUUUAGGCCCUUCCAUAAUUGCACUUCAAGUCCUUUUCAUUCUCUUUUCGCUCGUUAUACUUCUUUCCGGGGUUUUAGCCUACAAAAGUAACAAUUACACAAUUAUAAAUAGAAAUCGACUCAAUUUUAUCAAUAAUAAAAUCCCAAAAAUUGCUAAAUAAGUGUGUAAAAACACACUUCUCACACCCCCAAACUUGAGCUCUUGCUCGUCUUGAGCAAGAUUGACUUCUAACAUAAUCAUGCAAAUACAAAAAUGAUCAACAUAUUGGAUACCUUGCCAUAAAUAUCAUAGAGUUCAAAAUUGUAUAUCAAUUCAUAGCCAUACUUUCAAAUAAUGCUAUAAAAAAUAAUUAUAACUUAUCCCAUAUUCAAUCAGUGUGUGUGUACAUACCCAUUUUCCAUCAUCAUCUAAACUAAGAAAAUACUAUCAAGAGAGUAAAAUUUCUAAAUUAGCACCAACCCGACCCUCAGUGGUCAAAUAUAUUCUUUCCCGCUCGUAAGAUUCACACUCAAAUACAGAUAUUCCACUUCAUUUCCCAAGUGUAAAUCUAAAGGUUGCUCUCAAACACUCUUUUCUUUAUCGAUCAAAAAUACUCAACUAGUAUGCAUUAUCAGAUGAAGAUAAAGUAACUGAACAUGUAGAACCUCGCAAGAUAGUAUAAUCACUCACUCUCAAGUGUAUAAGAUUGGGUACUGUUUCGCUCAGAUCAUUCCAAUGAAAAUGUUCUACCAUAAGCUUGCAUAUUUUCUCAAUCGUCA